ensembl:lncRNA
GAGGACUGAAGUUUUAAAAGUUUCUCAGUACUUCUCUGUUAGUUUGAACUUUUUGGUUAACAGAAGCCUUAAAACUUGUGACCAUGAGUCUUGAUUUCACAUUUAGAUCAUCCAUCUGAGUUCUUCUCAGACCUUCACCUGUGGGUUUUUUUAGAAAUCCUCAACAAACUUUGAUUCUCUUCACUGAACAGUAAAGUUUGUGGAGAUCAGAAGACCAAAGAACUACAGACUCUUCACAACCUGCUCAAACUCUUGGUACAGGACCUCACCACACAGGUCAAGAAGGUUUCCAUCUCAUUUCUACUCUGAAGCUCACCUUCUCCUGCUCAAACUGCUGACAAAUGU